CAGGGGGCCCGGCCUCGUCUGGGAGCGCACCGCGGGUUUGUCCAGCGCGGAGGGAAUUCCAGAAUCCCUGAAACACAGAGACGCAAAGUCACAAAGAUGUUGUUAAAUGUUAAGGAAAGAACACUGAGCCUAUUGAGCCCUGAAAGCGUUUCCAUUUCUCCUUUGAUAUCCUGAUUUUCUUGACUGAAUGCCUGAGAACACAAUUGUACACAUACUUUUGUUUCUGGAUGCUGAUGACCUCCAACAGCUGUCAAAACUGUGCAAGAACUUCCAACAGCUAUGUAACAAUGAAGAAGUUUGGGAGAGGAUUUAACUGCUAAGAGGGAAACCAGCACUUGGUAAGAUGACAUUUUCAGUCUUCAAGAACUUCAAUGAAAAACUCAAGUGGAGGCACAGAAGACAGAUAGAAUGCCUCUAAGUCACUUAGAAAUUAUCAGACAAGAUUCUGGCUUCCCAUUUGUUUCAGAUACUUUUUCUUUCUAAUGAAACAGUUAUAAAUAAGUAACUUGAGAAUUUUAAGUCUCUCCUCUCCUCAUAUAAUACUCAAACAACACCACCAACUCACAAGUAAUUUUCUACAGAUUUUCAACAUUCCAUCAAGUUUGGGGAGGGAAGUACUACUCCAUUUUCCUUUUUAGGCAUAUUUUAUUCUGAUGUUCAAUAUUAUUUUGUGCCCAGUGAGUGGGUUUUGUCAUGUUCAUAUUUCACGCUUUUUGUUUGGGCUGUUCAGUUGCAGUACUGCAAAUAAAUGCCAGCAGACAAACUGCCUUCAGCAUGAAGAGGAGUGUUGGCUUAACCAUGAAUGGACCUCCAAAGACUCUUCACAAACAACUUUGAGCCAUUUGGUAUUAAAUUAAAAGAAGCAACAGAA